UUUAUGUAUGAUAAGCAGUACUGCCAAUGAAGAUGGGGAUUGUAAUCUUUAGCUCAUGGGAACUUUUAUUUGUUUUGAACAAGUUUACUAGCUCAACAAUUCUCUUACGUGAGGAAUAUUAAUCUAGGGGUUGCCUCUGUUUCUGUUUAAUCAUAUUGACAGGAAACUUCAUGGAAUUUUUUAGGUAGCUAGAAAAGGGGAGAAUGUACAUAGACCCAUAUGAAUGGACUAUUGAUGGCUCAAAGAGAACACAAUAUCCAACUCAGGUAUAUCUCUUACAUGCAGACUAUAAUUGAUAUGGUUAUAUUCAAGACAAUUGUGGUCAUGAUUCAUGAAAAGACCUUUAUGCUCGUACCUUUUGUUAAUAUUUAAGGGGCAAAUGUGUGUCCGACUUCAAUCCAGCCAUUGUCUGAAGACAGAUUUAAACUAGUAAUUGCAGACAACUACUACACUCAUAACCAUUUCUAGUUCUAGCUAGACCAUGUGCAAACAAGUAAGCUUGUUUCCUAUCAUCUAGAACAAUUGCCUCUGGUGUUUAUGUCCCACAGAAUACAUAGAGGUGGAAAACUGUAUCUUGAUCCCUUGCAUGACAUGAAACUCUGAAGGAAGGUGAAACUUCUAAAAUGCUUGAAUUAGAGACAGAGCAUUCUACUCCAAGUACUAUAUCAUAUUUGACAAAAACUGAUUUUUCUCUAGACAAACACAUCUGGUCAUUAGAUACAAAUGAAGUUGAGUAAGUAAAAGAGGACGAGAAUGACAACAUAUUUAUGAAACUAAAAGAACUAACUCUUAACUGUGAAAGUCAAGAUCUCUCUUUGGCAAACAAUAUCAAUGAUUCUCCUGAUGUGAACAACACAGAAAAAGGUGAAAUGGAAGCGUUGAGUGGUUUAGAUAAGAAAGUACUAAUCCUCCAUUUGAGAAUCAAUACAACAUAGCUCAAGUGGUUCAAAAUGUUUGAUGGAAAACUUUAAAUGAGUUAUGUUACUUUUGUUAGCAAGCAACUUUUAAUGUAUUUAUAGUUGGCACAAGAGGUCAAACAAAUUUCAAGAAAAUGCAAACAGAGAAGAAUUGCUACCUGGAACAGAAGCUGUCUCAUAAGUGUUUGCUGUUCUUACAGACCUCAAAUGCAAUGUGGUAGUAGCAGAAGUCCAGACCCACAAUUCAAGAAUGGCUUCUGUUUUUCACAUCAUGAAUGAAGCAACAUGAUUUUCCAUCAACAAUCUGGAUCGCCUUGCCAAGAUUAAGCAGUUUCUAUUGUAUAUGCUCAAAGGAGACAUUGAUAAAAAGAGUGCCAACACUGCUGUUUCUGUUGGUUCACUGAGCAGGAAAGGAGGCUGCAUUAGUUGAAGAAAAUGACUGUGAUUAUGACAUACAAGAUGGAAAUUCUGGGUCAACAAGUGACAAGAACAAACUCCUUGUAAGUUGUAACAGUUGAUGAUUGCAUACAUAAGGGAUACACUGUGGUGAACUUGAGGUGUCCAGACAAACCAAAGUUACUUUUUGAUACCGUGUGCAAACUCACAUGCAGGCAAUAUGUUAUGUACCAUGGUCCAUGGAACUGUUGUCAUUGCUGCAGAACCAGAGGCAUGUGGAUGGAAGUCCUAUCAGUUCUAAAGCAGAAAGGCAAAGAGUGAUUCAUUGAUUGGAGGCUACUAUUUGGAGACGAACUUCUGAGAGCAUAAAGCUAGAACUAUGUGGGGAAGACAGGGUUGAUCUUUUGUCUGAUGUAACUCGCAUCUUUAGAGAAAAUGGUUUAUCAGUCAACCAAGCUGAAGUUACAACCAGGGAUUCCCAAGCCAUGAAUGUUUUCUAUGUGACUAACAUAUCUGGAAAUCAAGUUAAGAGUGAACAAUUGAAGCAAUUUAAAAAGAUAUUGAUUUGACCAUGCUGCAAGUGAAAGAUGAUGUCUGCUCAAAACCCCCAUCCCAAUAUGAUGUAUAUCUAAUGAAUUCUUAUAUUUGAAACUAUUGUACUUCCAUGAAUAGGAGCUAUAUGUAAUGUUCUAAUUUUUAAACAGUAGCUUAGUUUAGCCUAGAUAGACUGCUUUGAUUCCCAUUCCAAUGCUUUAUGGUAGUUCUUUCUAGAUUUGAUGCAAGUUGUAAUUAAUGUCAGAUUGAAGAGUUUGAUCUAGACAUAUUUAU